rnacentral:rRNA from 1 species
CAUUUGCCUUAUAAUUGAAGGCUAGUAUGAAUGGUUUGACAAGAAUGUAGCUGUCUCUUUAUAAUUAAACAUAAUUUUAUUUAUAGGCCAAGAAGCCUAUAUUAAAUUAAAAGACAAGAAGACCCUAUCGAGCUUGAAAGAAAUUAGUAGAUUAAGUAAUUAAUGAUAUCAAAAAAUUAACUAUUAGAAAUUUUAGUUGGGGCGACUGAGGAACAAAAAAAGCUUCCUUUAAAAUUAAAAACUAAACAAGUAUUGAUCCAAAACAUUUUGAUUAAAGGAAUUAGUUACCGUAGGGAUAACAGCAUUAUCUUUUUUAAGAGCUCUUAUCGAAAAAAAGGUUUGUGACCUCGAUGUUGGACCAGAAUAUCCUAAAGAUGCAGAAGUCUUUAAGGGUUGGUCUGUUCGACCAUUAAAAUUCU